GACGAACGCUGGCGGCGUGCUUAACACAUGCAAGUCGAACGGAAAGGCCCUGCUUUUGUGGGGUGCUCGAGUGGCGAACGGGUGAGUAACACGUGAGUAACCUACCCUUGACUUUGGGAUAACUUCAGGAAACUGGGGCUAAUACCGGAUAGGAGCUCCUGCUGCAUGGUGGGGGUUGGAAAGUUUCGGCGGUUGGGGAUGAACUCGCGGCUUAUCAGCUUGUUGGUGGGGUAGUGGCUUACCAAGGCUUUGACGGGUAGCCGGCCUGAGAGGGUGACCGGCCACAUUGGGACUGAGAUACGGCCCAGACUCCUACGGGAGGCAGCAGUGGGGAAUAUUGCACAAUGGGCGGAAGCCUGAUGCAGCAACGCCGCGUGCGGGAUGACGGCCUUCGGGUUGUAAACCGCUUUCGCCUGUGACGAAGCGUGAGUGACGGUAAUGGGUAAAGAAGCACCGGCUAACUACGUG
rnacentral:rRNA from 1 species